CUCGUUUGAAUUGGCACAUCAAAUUUGAUAUUAUCUGUAGAUAUAUUUGUAGUGGGCAGAGACUAAUUAUCAUCUUGUUCUCCUCAAAAGAAUGGGUUCUUUCCCUGCUUGUGCUAGAACUUAUUAUUGCAGGAAUUUUUGGCAUUGAAAAUAUGUGCAAUAUGAUGCUGGAUUUUUUGGUUGGAAGAGUUUCCCACUAUUUAUUUAUAUGGUAUGUGGCAGAUUUUUUUUUUGGGAUGAUUUAAGUCAAUUUUUCUUUUGUCUUGAUUCAUCAUCAGUUAUCCAGAGAUGUUUUUACUCUGUAUUCAACUGAUUUUCUUGAGUUGGGGUUUCCAAUUUUAUCCUUCAUCACUGCUUGAAUUUUCAUUUCCUUCACUCUAGUGGGUGAUUUGUUGGGGCUGUCAUUUAGCAGGGCUUCUUUUUCCUAUUUUAGUUUCUGAUGGAUCUAGAGUUUGUGCAUGUAUCUUAUGGUUUCCAGAGAUUGUUGGGAUGCUUGAUCUUCUGUUUCGCAGGUGAGUUGGGUGUUGCAGCAUGAAGUCUGUGAUGUCGUAUGUUCUUUCGGAUGGUGAAUACUUUCGAAGAUCUUCUAAUUUGGUUCAUCUCUGCACAGAAGUAAUGGAGUGUGGUGGUAUCUCUUCACUUCCCUUGCACUUAAUUGUUUUGUGGUAUGUCCAGAUGAUAUCCCCCCUUCCAGCAUUUGAAGCCCAAGGAAUGCAAUAUAGAAAUGCCCUUUUUCUCGGCACACUUGCACUUGGUGCUCUUGGAAGCAGUUUCUUAUUUGACCAUUCUGCACUUACUGGAUUAUAGAAGGUGAUGUUACAUCUUUUGCUUCCCUGGAAGUGCAGCAACUUGUGGCAUGUAGAGUUUGUGGUUGAUCAUAUUAUUCCAUAAAAGCCUGAGGAGUGGUCCUCCAAGGUGUUUGCGGUUCCAGAUAUUAAUGAUGUUUACCCCUUUGCGUGCAGCAAAUAAACAGCCUUUCAGAAGGGUACUUCUAUUAGAGUGUUAUUUGGUGAUGGUAGAUCUGCUAAGGAUUCUUUCUACGUAACUUUAUAAUAGUCACACUUCAUCUAAAUUGUAAUAUGUUCCAUUUAGUUAACAUGUUUGUUGCAAGAUGAAUUGAGAUAAUUGAAGUUAUUGAUCUUGUAACAACCUGCUGGUUCUUUUCCUUUAUAUACAAAUGAUAUUUUAUA